rnacentral:rRNA from 1 species
AGCGAACGCUGGCGGCAGGCCUAACACAUGCAAGUCGAACGAACUCUUCGGAGUUAGUGGCGGACGGGUGAGUAACACGUGGGAACGUGCCUUUUGGUUCGGAAUAACUCAGGGAAACUUGUGCUAAUACCGAAUGUGCCCUUCGGGGGAAAGAUUUAUCGCCAUUAGAGCGGCCCGCGUCUGAUUAGCUAGUUGGUGAGGUAACGGCUCACCAAGGCGACGAUCAGUAGCUGGUCUGAGAGGAUGACCAGCCACACUGGGACUGAGACACGGCCCAGACUCCUACGGGAGGCAGCAGUGGGGAAUCUUGCGCAAUGGGCGAAAGCCUGGCGCAGCCAUGCCGCGUGAAUGAUGAAGGUCUUAGGAUUGUAAAAUUCUUUCACCGGGGACGAUAAUGACGGUACCCGGAGAAGAAGCCCCGGCUAACUUCGU